UUCAGGAUCGAAGCCUGUCUGAUACCUCCCAUCCCUCCUACCCCAGUACUCCUGCACAUUUGGGAAUAUGUGAUAACUUGGUUGGUGACUGAAAGCACAUGAGUACUGGUACAGAACGUUGCCUACUUCUAGCAUGCUGCAUCUGUAGAUCUUAGUAAAGUGGGGCUGAAGAGAUGGAUCAGCAGUUAAAGAGUGCGGACUAUUCUCCCAGAGGAGUGGGGUUCAAGUCCCAGGACCUUCAUAAUGCAUACCAGUUUGUGACUCCGGUUCCAGAGUAUCUGAUGCCCUCUUCUGGCCUCUGUGGGUACUCCAUGCACAAGGUGCCCAGACAUACAUAGAAGCAAAAAUGGAAAGAAAAAAAUAUUUAAAGAAAACA